rnacentral:rRNA from 1 species
CCUACGGGAGGCUGCAGUGAGGAAUAUUGGUCAAUGGGCGAGAGCCUGAACCAGCCAAGUCGCGUGAGUGAAGAAGUAUUUCGGUAUGUAAAGCUCUAUCAGCAGGGAAGAAAGAUAUGACGGUACCUGACUAAGAAGCCCCGGCUAACUACGUGCCAGCAGCCGCGGUAAUACGUCGGGGGCAAGCGUUAUCCGGAUUUACUGGGUGUAAAGGGAGCGUAGGCGGCGAUGCAAGUCUGAAGUGAAAGGCGGGGGCCCAACCCCCGGACUGCUUUGGAAACUGGAUGGCUUGAGUGCAGGAGAGGUAAGUGGAAUGCCUAGUGUAGCGGUGAAAUGCAUAGAUAUUAGGAAGAACACCAGUUGCGAAGGCGGCUUACUGGACUGUAACUGACGUUGAGGCUCGAAAGCGUGGGGAGCAAACAGGAUUAGAUACCCGUGUAGUC